AGGUUAAGCCCGAUGAACCUGAAUAUCCAUUAUGAAAAAUUCAUCAUUAUAACAAAAUAAUAAUAAUAAUAUUAUUAUAUAUGGGAUAGUGUGCAUUUUUUUCAUAUAAGGACAUUGUGAUCUAUUAACAUAAUAAAAUAUUUAUCAAAAGAUCAUUAGCUUUAAGUUUAUUUUAAUUAAUUUGCUUUUUUAGCUUAUUAACAUAAAAUAAAUGCAAGUGAUUUG
rnacentral:rRNA from 1 species